CCUCUUAAUCAUGUCCCCAGUUCCGAAAAACCUACAAAAUAGAACCAGAGUCCUAUUCCAUUAUUCCUCGCUGAAGUAUUCAGACGACCCGGCCUGCUUUUAACACUCUAAUUUUUUAAAAAUA